CAGAGUAGGGAAAUGUGCGUACAGUGUCCGCGGGACGGGGAGUUGUCUGCGGAACGAAGGAGUUUUCCGCGGUGCAUUUCCCGCAUCCCGCUGU
rnacentral:ncRNA from 1 species